rnacentral:rRNA from 1 species
AAACGCGAAACGGGGCGAACCCAAGUAGAGUGGCGCACGGGUGAGUAACACGUGGGUAAUCUGCCUUAUGAUUCGGGAUAACCGGUGGAAACGCCAGCUAAUACCGGAUAAGCAAGAAGCAGCAGUGCUUAAUGAGAAAGUGUGGGACUUUUCGGAGCCACACGUCAUGAGAUGAGCCCGCGUCCCAUCAGCUAGUGGCGGGUAAGAGCCCACAAGGCAAAGACGGGUAGCUGGUCUGAGAGGAUGAUCAGCCACACUGGAACUGAGACACGGUCCAGACUCCUACGGGAGGCAGCAGUGGGGAAUAUUGCGCAAUGGGCGAAAGCCUGACGCAGCGACGCCGCGUGGAGGAAUGAAGGUUUUCGGAUUGUAAACUCCUGUCGGAAGGAACGAAAGAUGUUGGUGCUAAUAACAUCAGCAAGUGACGGUACCUUUAAAGGAAGCACCGGCUAACUCUGUGCCAGCCGCAGC